rnacentral:rRNA from 1 species
UAAAAUUUGAUUUACUUUAUAUAACGCCAGGAUAUUACGAGCAAUAGCUUAAAAUCCAAAGGACUUGACGGUGCCCUUACCCAUCUAGAGGAGCCUGCCCUAUAAUCGAUUAUCCCCGCUAGACCUUACCAUCUCUUGCCAAUCAGCUUGUAUACUUCCGUCGUAAGCUUACCAUGUGAAAGACCAAUAGUGAGCCUAAUGUUCCGUUUCACCAGUACGUCAGGUCAAGGUGCAGCCUAUGAGAUGGGAAGGGUGGGCUACAAUUUCUAAACUAGGACACACGAAAACCCUGCAUGAAAACCCAGAAAUGAAGGUGGAUUUAGUAGUAAAAAGAAAAUAGAGUGUUCUUUUUAAUAAGGCGCUGGGGCGAGUACACACCG